UAGAUCAUUCAAGGGUGUGUUAAAGCAAGCUAAGGAGUCCAUUUUGGGGUCAUAUGGUCGUGGGUUUGGCUGUCCAAAACAGCCUCCAUUUCGAGUUCAUCAAGGGGAUAGGCUUGGCCUUGAUGUACGAAUGAGGAGCAUAAGGAAUAUAUAAUCAAGGAAGCUAUAGAUGGGAAGUACCCAUUUUGGAUAUAUGGAAUAUAAUGUGUGGCAUAUCAAGG